GAUGAACGCUGGCGGCGUGCCUAAUACAUGCAAGUCGAGCGAACAGACGAGGAGCUUGCUCCUCUGACGUUAGCGGCGGACGGGUGAGUAACACGUGGAUAACCUACCUAUAAGACUGGGAUAACUUCGGGAAACCGGAGCUAAUACCGGAUAAUAUAUUGAACCGCAUGGUUCAAUAGUGAAAGACGGUUUUGCUGUCACUUAUAGAUGGAUCCGCGCCGCAUUAGCUAGUUGGUAAGGUAACGGCUUACCAAGGCAACGAUGCGUAGCCGACCUGAGAGGGUGAUCGGCCACACUGGAACUGAGACACAGUCCAGACUCCUACGGGAGGCAGCAGUAGGGAAUCUUCCGCAAUGGGCGAAAGCCUGACGGAGCAACGCCGCGUGAGUGAUGAAGGUCUUCGGAUCGUAAAACUCUGUUAUUAGAGAAGAACAAAUGUGUAAGUAACUAUGCACGUCUUGACGGUACCUAAUCAGAAAGCCACGGCUAACUACGUG
rnacentral:rRNA from 1 species